UGGGGAAUUUUCCACAAUGGGCGAAAGCCUGAUGGAGCAACGCCGCGUGUGUGAUGAAGGUCUUCGGAUCGUAAAGCACUUUCGACCGGGACGAAAAAACGCUGGCUAACAUCCAGCGUCCUGACGGUACCGGGAGAAGAAGCACCGGCUAACUCUGUGCCAGCAGCCGCGGUAAUACAGAGGGUGCAAGCGUUGUUCGGAAUUAUUGGGCGUAAAGCGCGUGUAGGCGGCUUAUCAAGUCAGAUGUGAAAGCCCUCGGCUCAACCGAGGAAGUGCGUCUGAAACUGAUGAGCUUGAGUACCGGAGAGGGUAGCGGAAUUCCGCAAGUAGAGGUGAAAUUCGUAGAGAUGCGGAGGAACACCGGUGGCGAAGGCGGCUACCUGGACGGUCACUGACGCUG
rnacentral:rRNA from 1 species